AUGUUAGCCUGGAGAGAGAGGAUAAGGUUGGGUGUGUUGCGUAAAGGAGGAGAUAUCAGAUCAAACUGUGAAAAAUCAAAGACUCCCUUCAUAUCAAUUCUUUUUCUCCUUCACACUUCAACUGUAACAGCAAACUCUGUAGCUGCGCAUACAAUUCCCUCGGUUUUCAACUACCAAUUUCCACCAACACUACGUUCCAAUUUCCUGCUUCCGUUUUGCAAAUUGCUGAUGCGCCGAGCUUUAUCCGACGCCUUGAGUUUACCCGAUGUGAUUUCUACACUUGUGAUUUAUUUUCACCUUAUUUGA